rnacentral:lncRNA from 1 species
CUUGGAGACAGCGGCUGGCGGGUCAAUGCCGAAGCCGGCACCAGCCACUGCGGUGGUGCCCUUGUUGACCGGGUUCUUGAUGCCCUGGCUCGCUGAGGCCCUCACCCUCCUUCCAGCCCAUCUUCAUCAGCACGUUCUCCUCGGUGAGCUUGAACUCCUUGUACUCCGAGUAGUCAGGCUCGCGACCCUCCUUCAGGGCCUUGAAAGUCUCCAUAAACUUCUCCAGCUUGUCUGGAGGUAGGAAGUCUCCGAUGAAGUGCUUGCCUCGGCUCAUCUUCGUCAGCUGCUCGGCCCAUUCCCUCGUCUUGUUCAUCUCCAUGCGCUGCAGCUGGUGCUCCCAGGUGCGCAGCUCGCUGCUCACCUCCUCGUCGCUGUGGUAGCCGUGCUGGUGCUGCUGCACCGCCUUCUCCCACAGCAGCUGCAUAUCCUGCAUGGCCCACUUGUGCUGCAUGAUCAUGUCGUACAUCUGAUGCAUCUCCUGCUGGUCCUUCAGCUGCUGCUUCUGGGAGCACGAUAGCUCCGUGAGGCCCGCUAGACCCACGGACUUCCCGUUCUCAUAGCCGAGCCCCUUGAGGUCCUGAACUGACAGAGGUGAGGGAGAGGCAUCCACGUCCCUCUGCACCAGCUCAGCAGGUCAUUGUUUCCCAAACUAGAUGCUGAAUCCCGGUGAGACUGUGAAGAUAUUGUGAGCGUUCUUGGAGAUCAGAGCAGAAAACAUCCAUCGGAGAAUGGCCCUGUCUGAGAGAUAUGUUACCCUAAACACCAAGACUCAAUAUAUAUGACUUAAGAAAAAAAAGAUCCUUAUGCACUAUCUGAAGGUGAUGCUUCCUGACUUUUGCAACAGAAAGAAUGCUGUCUUCCUGUGCCUGCGGAGAUGAUAAUCAAGCUGGCACACUGACAAUCAAUGUAAAUUCAUUAAACAAAACAGGAAGUAAACAGAUUGAGAUUGUCAUGACAAUGUGUCUCCUCCCCUUUCCUUUCUGAUUCUGGGUUGAACCCCAAGGAAACAUGAUGAACCAGGUUGCAUGACUGUGAAGGCAGGAUAAAAGAAAAGCAGAAGAACCACAUUAAUCAUGGCAGACAUUGAUGAAGAAGGACAAUGAGGUUUUUCUGGUGGGUUUCUGGAGAAAUCAACUGUCAACAUUCUGCAAAACAAUCACUGACUCAAAAAACUCAAGAAGGGAGUAAAGAUAAUUAAUAAAGUAAGUUAAGUUGUAUUAUACCCACAAAUACAAACCAGUGGAAUCAUUUCUGGGUAACAUAUUGAGCUAAUAAAGUAGUAAAAAGGUGUCAAUGAUUUUAGGUAAAAGAUAUUGCCACCCCACUCUUCUUAUGUGGCGAUGCCUAAAGAAGAGAUCGCGCUGGCUGCAAUAAUGCCCCAAUGGUCAAGAUAUGCCAGUUAUUCAAAUUGGAAAAUCCAGGUAUAUUCAUGGAACUUACCAAUCUUUGGUUACUAGUAGGAAGUCUGCACAAGCAGCAACUACCACAGUUGUUCUAAAAACAGGGUGACAAAAGGCCACUCUUUCAGGCUAUGAAGACAUUUUGGCUUUUGUUUUCACAAUUAGAGACUCAGCAGCUUUCUGGACAGAAACUGCUGGAGUCCAGGCUAUGGCAUACUUGUUUCAUCUGCCCUCUCC